rnacentral:rRNA from 1 species
AUUGAACGCUGGCGGCAGGCCUAACACAUGCAAGUCGGGCGAGUGGCGGACGGGUGAGUAAUGCUUGGGGAUCUGGCUGAUGGAGGGGGAUAACUACUGGAAACGGUCGCUAAUACCGCAUACCAUCAGAUGAACCCAUAUGGGAUUAGGUAGUAGGUGGGGUAAUGGCUCACCAAGGCGACGAUCCCUAGCUGGUCUGAGAGGAUGAUCAGCCACACCGGGACUGAGACACGGCCCAGACUCCUACGGGAGGCAGCAGUGGGGAAUAUUGCACAAUGGGCGCAAGCCUGAUGCAGCCAUGCCGCGUGUAUGAAGAAGGCCUUCGGGUUGUAAAGUACUUUCGGUCGGGAGGCGUUACCGACAGAAGAAGCACCGGCUAACUCCGUGCCAGCAGCCGCGGUAAUUC